rnacentral:lncRNA from 1 species
GAAAUUACAUCAUGUACAUUUCUGACAAAUCAAUUUGCAUAGUUUUCAUUCUAUGAAACACUGAAGGAUUUAGGGUGUGGCAAUUACAUGAUCAGGUAGGAUAUAAGGCAGCCAAAGGAGGUUGAUAGGCCACUCAGUCACUCAACAUCAUCACAGACAGCUUCUAUCAACUCUGAAACAGAAGAGGAUGAAGACCCUCAGUGUGAUAGUGAUGUUCACCCUCCUGGGUGUCCUGUUGGCAAACCCACUCAACGAGGUCAAUUCUCAGGAAGGUAGGACCUUUCUGUAGGUGUAAAUGUGCUUUGUGUAAGUGAGUGUGUUUGUGUGUGCAAAAGCAUGUAUGUGUAAGCAUCUUUGUGUGUGGUUGUGCGUAUGUAAUAUUUAUUGGGUUGUGCAGAAGAGGCCAUCUUUCAGUUCAGUUGACUGUUCUUCCUCUGUGACAGAUUUGGAUGACAGUGGGCUCAAUGAACUGGAAUCUCCAAAGUUGGCUCCAAUGCAGAACCCUCCGUCUCAAGAAGACCAGGAGAUUCAAAAUGAUGUGGAAGAUGCAAUUGCUGCAAUGGAAGAUUAUCAGAAGGAUCCCAAAGCUGAGAAGUUGCAGUCUCUAUUCUUUAGGUUUAAGUGGCUGUUACGCAGACUCUUCAGGACUUUCUUCGGUUGGCGUCGCCACCAUCACCACCAUCAUAGAUGGUAUUGAGGAUCCUCUCCAGUCUCCAUAUGAAAUGUAUCACGAUACAACUCACAAGUCUCCUGACAUCACCUCUCACCAACCUGAUGUAUCAACAACCUCUUAGACCCACAUCAUCACUAUAUCUACUGAUUAAUGCUGUGUUCCAAAUGACACCCUAUUCCCUUUAGAGCACUGCUGUUAAGAUGUUCUAAAGUAAAGUUAAAGACAGGGAAUAUGGUGACAUUUCAGACACACUUUGUCACCAUUUCUCUGUCUGUUUUGAUACUUUAGGAAUGAUUAGAGAUGAUUAACAUUGACUAUAUGAAGACAUGGUGGUAAUGUUGUAUGGCUGAUCUGUCAAACUGCAAUCAUUCAAUAAAUAUUUAUCAAGCAUCACACAUUAUCAGCUGUGCACGA